rnacentral:rRNA from 1 species
ACGGGUGAGUAAUGCUUAGGAAUCUGCCUAUUAGUGGGGGACAACAUCUCGAAAGGGAUGCUAAUACCGCAUACGUCCUACGGGAGAAAGCAGGGGACCUUCGGGCCUUGCGCUAAUAGAUGAGCCUAAGUCGGAUAGCUAGUUGGUGGGGUAAAGGCCUACCAAGGCGACGAUCUGUAGCGGGUCUGAGAGGAUGAUCCGCCACACUGGGACUGAGACACGGCCCAGACUCCUACGGGAGGCAGCAGUGGGGAAUAUUGGACAAUGGGGGGAACCCUGAUCCAGCCAUGCCGCGUGUGUGAAGAAGGCCUUUUGGUUGUAAAGCACUUUAAGCGAGGAGGAGGCUACCGAGAUUAAUACUCUUGGAUAGUGGACGUUACUCGCAGAAUAAGCACCGGCUAACUCUGUGCCAGCAGCCGCGGUAAUACAGAGGGUGCAAGCGUUAAUCGGAUUUACUGGGCGUAAAGCGCGCGUAGGUGGCCAAUUAAGUCAAAUGUGAAAUCCCCGAGCUUAACUUGGGAAUUGCAUUCGAUACUGGUUGGCUAGAGUAUGGGAGAGGAUGGUAGAAUUCCAGGUGUAGCGGUGAAAU